UGUGCGUGUGCUUGUUCUUCUUUGGCUAGAGGUGUAGGGGGCGCGGUUGAGAUAUAACAAAAAAAGUUAUGAUAUAAUGUUUUUCUUCGCAAAUCAAUAAGCUAAAAGGUCUGGAUGGUGUCGAUUAAUUCUUCAUUCUUCGAUAAUUCUACAUAUUUUCUUUUUUCUUUUUUCUUUAUGGCUCAUUAUUAUUCAUUUUGUAUUUUAGCACCCUAUUAUUCCCUCAUCUUUUUUGAGUGCAUACUUUUAGCUAUUCUUCAAUAAAUUUUGUGUGUACCUUUUUCGGUCCUUUUUGUACAUUAUUCUCUAUUCUGUAAACCCAAUCCAGACCCUCAUACAUUUCUCGUUGACUAUUGUAAGCUAUCCUUUCGGUUGAAAGAAUACGAAGAUUAUAACAAG
rnacentral:lncRNA from 1 species